rnacentral:rRNA from 1 species
AGAACGAACGCUGGCGGCAGGCUUAACACAUGCAAGUCGAACGCCCCGCAAGGGGAGUGGCAGACGGGUGAGUAACGCGUGGGAAUCUACCUGGUUCUACGGAAUAACACAGGGAAACUUGUGCUAAUACCGUAUACGCCCCAAGGGGGAAAGAUUUAUCGGUGCCAGAUGAGCCCGCGUAAGAUUAGCUAGUUGGUGGGGUAAUGGCCUACCAAGGCGACGAUCUUUAGCUGGUCUGAGAGGAUGAUCAGCCACACUGGGACUGAGACACGGCCCAGACUCCUACGGGAGGCAGCAGUGGGGAAUAUUGGACAAUGGGCGAAAGCCUGAUCCAGCCAUGCCGCGUGAGUGAUGAAGGCCUUAGGGUUGUAAAGCUCUUUCAGUGGGGAAGAUAAUGACGGUACCCACAGAAGAGCCCCGGCUAACUUCGUGCCAGCAGCCGC